rnacentral:rRNA from 1 species
GAUGAACGCUGGCGGCGUGCCUAAUACAUGCAAGUCGAGCGAAUGGAUUAAGAGCUCGCUCUUAUGAAGUUAGCGGCGGACGGGUGAGUAACACGUGGGUAACCUGCCCAUAAGACUGGGAUAACUCCGGGAAACCGGGGCUAAUACCGGAUAACAUUUUGAACCGCAUGGUUCGAAAUUGAAAGGCGGCUUCGGCUGUCACUUAUGGAUGGACCCGCGUCGCAUUAGCUAGUUGGUGAGGUAACGGCUCACCAAGGCAACGAUGCGGAGCCGACCUGAGAGGGUGAUCGGCCACACUGGGACUGAGACACGGCCCAGACUCCUACGGGAGGCAGCAGUAGGGAAUCGUCCGCAAUGGACGAAAGUCUGACGGAGCAACGCCGCGUGAGUGAUGAAGGCUUUCGGGUCGUAAAACUCUGUUGUUAGGGAAGAACAAGUGCUAGUUGAAUAAGCUGGCACCUUGACGGUACCUAACCAGAAAGCCACGGCUAACUACGUGCCAGCAGCCGCGGUAA